CACGUAGGGGGCGAGCGUUGUCCGGAAUUACUGGGCGUAAAGGGCGCGCAGGCUGUUAUGCGAGUCUGCUGUGAAAUGUACCGGCUCAACCGGUGCCUUGCGGCGGAUACUGCAUAGCUGGAGUACUGGAGAGGGAAGUGGAAUUCCCGGUGUAGCGGUGAAAUGCGUAGAUAUCGUGAGGAACACCGGUGGCGAAGGCGGCUUUCUGGCCAGUUACUGACGCUCAUGCGCGAAAGCUGGGGUAGCGAACCGGAUUAGAUA
rnacentral:rRNA from 1 species